UACAUGUGGGGCAAGCGUUGUUCGGAAUUACUGGGCAUAAAGGGUGCGUAGGCGGCUUGUUAAGUCAGGGGUGAAAGUUUUCGGCCCAACCGGAAAAUUGCCUUUGAUACUGGCGAGCUCGAGUGCGUGAGGGUAACCGGAACGAGCAGUGUAGCGGUGAAAUGCGUAGAGAUCCGGAAGACACCGGUGGCGAAGGCGGCCUGCUGGGCAGUUGCUGACGCUGAGGCGCGACAGCGUGGGAGCAACAGG
rnacentral:rRNA from 1 species